rnacentral:lncRNA from 1 species
AGUAAUCCGUGCAAUACGACGGAUAGAUAAUUGAAGAAAAAAUAAAAAAAAUGACGACAAGAGAAAACAGCAAUGAAAGAAAUGGCUAUAAAGGAUGAGAUUCAUCUUGCCGAUGAAGGAAACUGAAGGAAGAGGAAGAAGAAUAGUUCGGUUCAUUGUAGAGGUGUAACCCGGUUCGGUUCAAGACAAAAAAAAAAAAGGUUGACCUGGUACGAUUUAAGUAAAGAAAGAGAGAAAUCAGAUUCAUUUCAAGCAAAAAAAGAAAAACAUGUAGAAGACGAGCCGGUUCGGGAGAGUCCAUACUUAGCAAUAAUCAGUUCGGUUCAAGCAAAAAAAGAAAAAAAUCCAGUUCGACUUAAGCAAAAAAAAAAAUGAAAACAUGUGGAGAAUCUCAGCCAGUUCUAAUUAGAGCCCACACUCAAUAAUGAAGGACAUGUUGUCAUUUGGCAAAUUUAAGAAGAAUAAUGUAUAGGUAUAGAUUAAUUAUUCCGCCUUUAUUAAUUAGGAGUAGUG